AAAAUGUGAUAAAAUGUCAAUAUACUUUCACUUGCAUUUAAAUUAUUAUUACAUGUAUAUUUUAAAAAAUUAUGUACACUUGUAAAUAUUUUCACUAAUACUUACCAAUGAAACAGGGAUUCAAAAUUACGUGUCUGGUGUAUUAAAUUAUAAACCUGGUACCUUUGAUAACUAUUUACCUUAGCAGAGUUGUUCCCCUUAUAUUUGUGCAGAGUUGUUUCCCUUUUAUUUGUGAUAUAACUGCUCCCAACUAUGCUUCAUACAAAAUCUUUUCAUUUGUGUAAUAUUUAUCUGUUUAGCAAUUUCUCCUUUGAUUUCAGUGAAUAUUUUUUUUUUAAUGAAUUUUUUAUUCCCCCCUCUGUAUUAAGAAACAUACAUGCAAACUAAAGGGACAUAACUCCAAACAUUAUUCAAAGGAAACUUUCUUGCUCAUCAUUAUAAACUACAUCAUUCAGAAAUGGGCUCUGCGUGUAAAAGAAUCCUCACAAUUUGUUGAGAGGUUUGUAUGUGGCAUGUUUGCAAGGCAAAAUUGUGUCCCCGUCCAAUAUUCCUUUAUUUUACAGUGACAGUCAAGACUUCCUGUCCUUCAAUCCUGUCAUCCCAUCUUCCAGGAACUGAAAAACAUAUACAUUGUGCAAUUGUAUAAAUUUUUGAUAGGCCACUUCUAUAAAAAAAAAAAUGGAUUCUGAUAGAACAUAGUCGUACUCCGAACUUGAAGCUACGAUCUCUAUCUCUGAAACUUAUACACAAUGCUUAUUACCACAAAAUACAGAUUGAGUUUGAAUUUGGGUGGCGUUACUUUUACCAUUCUAAAGUUGUGCCCUUUUAUAUAGAGCAGGACACAUUCUCCAUUUCUUUUAUUUCCAAUUGAUGACAUCUGUUUAUUGCAUCAAAGUAUUAACAGUUUUGGAAAUUAACUGAAUUUUGUCACCAAAUGACCUUAGAUCUGAUCCAAAUAACCUUUUGGACGUCAAACAAAAACCACAUUUUAAUUGUGACAUCAAAUUAAAUAAAAUUGUGAUGUCAAAGUUCAUGGGAACUUGUGUAAGUUUACGUAAUGGAGGACAAUUUUGCAUACAAUUGUAAUUGCAUCUAUUGAAUUGACUAUUUCCUGUAUUCAAAGUAUACUGUUGUAUCUUGCCUUGAUUAUUUUCAGGUCAGAUUACCAAACCAUUAUGCAUGUACAUGUAAAUCUUUGUCAAAUUAUUUGCUCACAUUAAGAUAUAUAGAUACUUGAUAAUCCAAAGUGCUGAGAAAAAUGAUAAACUAUAUAUGUACAUAUUUUAGCAAAGUUCAUUGCAUUGCUGUUUUCCCCAAAGCAGAUUGAAAUAUUUCUGUGUUUACAGAAUUGUAUUUAAUAAUUAUUUUAUUGUGUUAUAUUAAAUUGUUUGUUUUUGUUUAGAUAUUGUUACAGGAUUAUAUUCUUCGUAAGUUUUGAUUUUUUAUUUGUUUUUAAUAUGAAGAAAGAAUAAAGACCUAUAUUGAAUUCAUGUGCCCAUUGCCAUUUAUGAGCAAUACAAGGAAUGUAUCGGGGUCAACUAUUCUUCCAUCAGACUGUUCAGGCGAUGUAUUGAGCCAAUUAUUGCAAAUUGUUUACAUGACAUUUGAUUUUAAAUGAAAGCCUUUUUUGUAUGUUUACUUCUUAUAGCAUACUAAAAUGAUUGCUACAUUUUACUUAUAUUAAGGACAUUGAUCCAUAAUUUUGAAAACAUUUGGUUGAUUGCUGUUCCCCAAGAAAAUAAAUGCCCCUUUUUUUUUCAAGCCCCCCCCCCAUUUUUGAAAGUCUAAAUCCUCUAUAUAUCUACUGUAGUUAAUGGUGAUCUGAUGAUUGAUUUUCCUAUGUGAUAAAAAAAAACUAUGUCUUCGUGAAUAUUCCAACUAGAUAUUCAAUAGUAAACUAUCAUGAUAAAUCCACAAUGAAAAUAUUGUAUAAACCCUGAGGAGCAGAGGACAGCUAUUUACUUGCAGGAUUAAUUCAUACAUAUACAUUGAAGAUUUGUUGUUGUAAUCAUGUUAAAUGCAAUAAUAUGUAAAUUUGUAUGUGGUGUAUUAAAUUUUUGGUGAAUUUAGAAGUUCAAUGCAAAUUUUGAAACUGGCAAUACGUAAGGGAAGUAACUAUUGCAAGUCUGCAGUUGUCUUUAAUGGAUUUAACAGUAAAAAUGUUAUUUAAAAGCAGAAAAAAUUGCAGUUUUUGCUUCUGUUCAAUUUUUUGUUUGGAGUCUAAUGGUUAAAAUUUAGUUGUUAAAUUAUAAUUUUCAAAUCAGCCAAAUAAUUGAUAACAAUAUAUGAGGCUCUCGAUGGGAUUAACAGAAUAAAGGGCAAAACAUAUUAAAGAAUUGAGAAAACAUAGGCAAAACAAAAUAAUAGAGCAAGAUGGGGUGUUUAAAAAUGUGGAAUCUAGAAUAACAGCAAAAAAAAAAGGAUAGAAAAAAUGGCAGUAAAAUUAAAGAAUACCUCCCCCCCUCUCCUGACUCAAAUUUUAGCAAAUCUUUUUUUUAAUAAAGAAAAACUUUAUUUAUCACCAUGCCAAAUAUCAACCUGAACACCAGAGCGAAAUAUUAAUAUUUUGAUUCAGGACUACUUCUUUUAAUGGAGAUACAUGUACUUGUGAUGAAAGUUAUGAUAUGGUUAAAUUAUGUUAUUGUCAAGUUGGUGAAUUUGACAAAAUUUCUGAAUUGAUUUGUAAUUUUGUUUACCUAAAUUAAAUAGAUGAUCAUUGUUAAAGUUGCUUGUUGAGGAAAAUAAAGGGCCAACUAAUUAAUUUGGUGUUUCAUUUACUGGUGCAAAUGAUUUCAUAUUUUAUAGUAUGAACAGCGUUCUCCUCCGAAAUUUCUUAGGAAGCAAACUUUUAACUUCAAGGGGG
rnacentral:lncRNA from 1 species